rnacentral:rRNA from 1 species
UACCAGCACCCCGAGUUGUCGGGACGAUUAUUGGGCCUAAAGCAUCCGUAGCCUGUUCUGCAAGUCCUCCGUUAAAUCCACCCGCUUAACGGAUGGGCUGCGGGGGAUACUGCAGAGCUAGGAGGCGGGAGAGGCAAGCGGUACUCAGUGGGUAGGGGUAAAAUCCUCUGAUCCAUUGAAGACCACCAGUGGCGAAGGCGGCUUGCCAGAACGCGCUCGACGGUGAGGGAUGAAAGCUGGGGGAGCAAACCGG